CCCUUAGAUGUCCGGGGCCGCACGCGCGCUACACUGAAGGAAUCAGCGUGGCUUUCUCCCUGACCCGAAAGGGUUGGGAAACCCGUUGAAUCUCCUUCGUGAUAGGGAUUGGGGCUUGAAAUUGUUCCCCAUGAACGAGGAAUUCCCAGUAAGCUCGAGUCAUAAGCUCGCGUUGAUUACGUCCCUGCCCUUUGUACACACCGCCCGUCGCUACUACCGAUUGAACGGUUUAGUGAGGGCCUCGGAUUGGUCUCGGCCCGCUCUUUACCGGGCGGCGCCGUUGGUCGAGAAGACGCUCGAACUUGAUCGUUUAGAGGAAGUAAAAGUCGUAACA
rnacentral:rRNA from 1 species